rnacentral:rRNA from 1 species
CAGCAGCCACGGGAAUACGAAGGGGGCUAGCGUUGUUCGGAAUCACUGGGCGUAAAGGGUGCGCAGGCUGGUUCUUAAGUCAGGGGUGAAAUCCCGAGGCUCAACCUCGGAACGGCCUUUGAUACUGGGGAUCUUGAGUCCGGAAGAGGUGAGUGGAACUGCGAGUGUAGAGGUGAAAUUCGUAGAUAUUCGCAAGAACACCGGUGGCGAAGGCGGCUCACUGGUCCGGAACUGACGCUGAGGCACGACAGCGUGGGGAGCAAACAGGAUUAGAUACCCCGGUAGUCCCUGUCUCUUAUAC